rnacentral:tRNA from 1 species
GGGGUUAUGGCUCAGCGGUAGAGUGCUCGCCUAAUGGGUGUGAGGCCCUGAGUUCAAUCCUCAGCACCA